AUUCGUCCAAUUGAAGCAGAGGACAGUGGCGGACGGGUGAGUAACGCGUGAGGAACCUGCCUUGUACUGGGGGACAACAGUUGGAAACGACUGCUAAUACCGCAUAAGCGCACAACUUCGCAUGAAGCAGUGUGAAAAACUCCGGUGGUACAAGAUGGACCCGCGUCUGAUUAGCUGGUUGGUGAGGUAACGGCCCACCAAGGCGACGAUCAGUAGCCGGACUGAGAGGUUGAACGGCCACAUUGGGACUGAGAUACGGCCCAGACUCC
rnacentral:rRNA from 1 species